UGUAAAGUGGCUGUUCCACUCGAUGUCAUAAGGUGAAUGCACCAAUUUGUAAGUCGCUCUGGAUAAGAGUCUGCUAAAUGACUUAAAUGUAAAUGUAAAAAUUCCAGUGUUUUACUUGCUAUAUUGUAUUUACUUUGCCACCAUGGCCUUUUUUGCCUUUACCUCCCUUCUCACCUCAUUUGCUCACAUUGUAUAUAGACUUGUUUAUACUGUAUUAUUGACUGUAUGUUGGUUUUACUCCAUGUGUAACUCUGUGUUGUUGUAUCUGUCGAACUGCUUUGCUUUAUCUUGGCCAGGUCGCAAUUGUAAAUGAGAACUUGUUUUCAACUUGCCUACCUGGUUAAAUAAAGGUGUUCUCAACUAGGGGGGGGGUGUCCGUUUGCUUGUAUUUCUCCCGUAACUCAUCAAACUCACUGUCAGCUCACAGUUUUUCCACGCAAUUGUGGGCACUCGGAUACCUCCAAUGUCACCAGGCUGCAAGAUGGUUUCGCAGUUGCCUUUGCUGCUGGGCUCAACGUCAGCUCAGUGGCCUUGGCCUCGAUGAUAGCGUCGGAUCAGCGACCUCUUUAGCAGCAGGAGGUCAACGACCUCUUUAACAGCAGGAGGUCAACAACAGCAGCAGGAGGUCAAUGACCUCUUUAGCAGCAGGAGGUCAACGACCUCUUUAACAGCAGGAGGUCAACAACAGCAGCAGGAGGUCAAUGACCUCUUUAACAGCAGGAGAUCAACGACCUCUUUAACAGCAGGAGGUCAACGACCUCUUUAACAGCAGGAGGUCAACAACAGCAGCAGGAGGUCAAUGACCUCUUUAGCAGCAGGAGGUCAACGACCUCUUUAACAGCAGGAGGUCAACAACAGCAGCAGGAGGUCAACAACCUCUUUAACAGCAGGAGGUCAACAACAGCAGCAGGAGGUCAACAACAGCAGCAGGAGGUCAACAACCUCUUUAACAGCAGGAGGUCAACAACAGCAGCAGGAGGUCAACAACAGCAGCAGGAGGUCAACAACCUCUUUAACAGCAGGAGGUCAACAACAGCAGCAGGAGGUCAACAACCUCUUUAACAGCAGGAGGUCAACAACAGCAGCAGGAGGUCAACGACCUCUUUAACAGCAGGAGGUCAACAACAGCAGCAGGAGGUCAACAACAGCAGCAGGAGGUCAACAACCUCUUUAACAGCAGGAGGUCAACAACAGCAGCAGGAGGUCAAUGACCUCUUUAACAGCAGGAGGUCAACGACCUCUUUAACAGCAGGAGGUCAACAACCUCUUUAACAGCAGGAGGUCAACGACCUCUUUAACAGCAGGAGAUCAACGACCUCUUUAACAGCAGGAGGUCAACGACCUCUUUAACAGCAGGAGGUCAACGACCUCUUUAACAACAGGAGGUCAACGACCUCUUUAACAGCAGGAGGUCAACGACCUCUUUAACAGCAGGAGGUCAACGACCUCUUUAACAGCAGGAGGUCAACGACCUCUUUAACAGCAGGAGGUCAACAACAGCAGCAGGAGGUCAACGACCUCUUUAACAGCAGGAGGUCAACGACCUCUUUAACAGCAGGAGAUCAACGACCUCUUUAACAGCAGGAGGUCAACGACCUCUUUAACAGCAGGAGGUCAACAACAGCAGCAGGAGGUCAACGACCUCUUUAACAGCAGGAGGUCAACAACCUCUUUAACAGCAGGAGGUCAACGACCUCUUUAACAGCAGGAGGUCAACAACAGCAGCAGGAGGUCAACGACCUCUUUAACAGCAGGAGGUCAACGACCUCUUUAACAGCAGGAGGUCAACGACCUCUUUAACAGCAGGAGGUCAACAACCUCUUUAACAGCAGGAGGUCAACGACCUCUUUAACAACAGGAGGUCAACGACCUCUUUAACAACAGGAGAUCAACGACCUCUUUAACAGCAGGAGGUCAACGACCUCUUUAACAGCAGGAGGUCAACGACCUCUUUAACAGCAGGAGGUCAACGACCUCUUUAACAGCAGGAGGUCAACGACCUCUUUAACAGCAGGAGGUCAACGACCUCUUUAACAACAGGAGGUCAACGACCUCUUUAACAACAGGAGAUCAACGACCUCUUUAACAGCAGGAGGUCAAUGACCUCUUUAACAGCAGGAGGUCAACGACCUCUUUAACAGCAGGAGGUCAACGACCUCUUUAACAGCAGGAGGUCAACGACCUCUUUAACAACAGGAGGUCAACGACCUCUUUAACAACAGGAGGUCAACAACAGCAGCAGGAGGUCAACGACCUCUUUAACAGCAGGAGGUCAACGACCUCUUUAACAACAGGAGGUCAACGACCUCUUUAACAGCAGGAGGUCAACGACCUCUUUAACAGCAGGAGGUCAACGACCUCUUUAACAGCAGGAGGUCAACGACCUCUUUAACAGCAGGAGGUCAACGACCUCUUUAACAGCAGGAGGUCAACAACAGCAGCAGGAGGUCAACGACCUCUUUAACAGCAGGAGGUCAACAACCUCUUUAACAGCAGGAGGUCAACGACCUCUUUAACAGCAGGAGGUCAACAACAGCAGCAGGAGGUCAACGACCUCUUUAACAACAGGAGGUCAACGACCUCUUUAACAGCAGGAGGUCAACGACCUCUUUAACAGCAGGAGGUCAACGACCUCUUUAACAGCAGGAGGUCAACGACCUCUUUAACAGCAGGAGGUCAACAACAGCAGCAGGAGGUCAACGACCUCUUUAACAGCAGGAGGUCAACGACCUCUUUAACAGCAGGAGGUCAACGACCUCUUUAACAGCAGGAGGUCAACAACAGCAGCAGGAGGUCAACGACCUCUUUAACAGCAGGAGGUCAACGACCUCUUUAACAGCAGGAGGUCAACGACCUCUUUAACAGCAGGAGGUCAACGACCUCUUUAACAGCAGGAGGUCAACAACCUCUUUAACAACAGGAGGUCAACGACCUCUUUAACAGCAGG